AAGUACAGCUUAUCCAGAGACACCAAUUGGGAGAGGUACAACAUAUGCAUUUCAAAGAGAACUGGACUCUGCUAUUUCUGAUUUCACCAAGGACUCCAGUAAUAACCACAUUAUGAAAUGGGCGAUAAUCAGCGACGCUAUUUACAUCAGUGAUGAUGAAGGUAAGCACCGCCAUAAACGCCAACGUGCCAAAAAGACAAGGGGUCGAGCUCCAUGUAGCGAACCAUGUCUUUGUGAGAGGACCUUAACAAGAGAUUGUUCUUCGCAAGUUAGACUGAACUCUUACGCAUAGGACCAAUAUGGUGCGAACUAUGGGGCAAACCAUCGCUCACUAUCCACAAGCGGUCAGUUAAAAGAACAUAACCGUAUUAUCCAUGAUUUUUUUGGCUGUGGCUUGAUUGGUUAAACUAAAUACUCACAGCAGGUUCAUGUGACGUGCCAUGUGAGAAGUCGAACGUGAAGACAAUCACGUGAAGUUAUCAAAUAGUAUGCUUUAGUUGAACUGUAUAGGUGCGCUCUGGCUUGAUUUUGUUGUCUAACUCUACUCUGUGUAUCUAACUUAAUGUGAAUUGAUCGUCCUGCCUUAGUUUUGGAACAAAGAAAUGUUUCCCUUUUAUUAUGAGCCUCCAGAUCAUUUGUUGUACUGAUUAAAUAUUUCCUACUCACCUUGCUUUUGGUAUACCCAACAUUGUUCUUGAUUUACUUUUGGAACACAAUAUAUGUUUCCCCUUA